rnacentral:rRNA from 1 species
UGAGGAAUAUUGCACAAUGGGCGAAAGCCUGAUGCAGCAACGCCGCGUGAGUGAUGAAGGCCUUUGGGUCGUAAAACUCUGUCCUUGGGGAAGAAAAAAAUGACGGUACCCUUGGAGGAAGCCCCGGCUAACUACGUGCCAGCAGCCGCGGUAAUACGUAGGGGGCAAGCGUUAUCCGGAAUUAUUGGGCGUAAAGAGUGCGUAGGUGGUUUUGUAAGCGUAGGGUGAAAGGCAGUAGCUCAACUAUUGUUAGCCCUGCGAACUGUGAGACUUGAGUGCAGGAGAGGAAAGUGGAAUUCCUAGUGUAGCGGUGAAAUGCGUAGAUAUUAGGAGGAACACCAGUGGCGAAGGCGACUUUCUGGACUGUAACUGACACUGAGGCACGAAAGCGUGGGUAGCAAACA